CUGGUUGCUGAAAGGUGAAGGACGCAGUGCAGAGGGAGGCAAUACUAAGCGGCCUGACCUUGUAAUGGAGACGCAGGAGACGCUCCUGAGACGUGACGCUGCUCUCUGUUUCUACCACCACACCACCUCUGUCUUUUCUGCCCUUCUCUCCCAUCUUGCAGGGACCUUGUGACUGCACUGGGCCCACCUGGAUAACCCAGGAUAAUCUUUCCAUCUCAAAGUCCUUAAUGGAAUCACAUUAGCAAAACUCCUUUGGAAAGAAGGCAUAAACCAUAACACCUCCCCUCCGCCCAACUCUGGUGUGGGACACUUACUAGGAAAACUCAAGAGGCUUUUAGCAACAGAAAUCAAAGGGUCUCUGGCAAAUGGACACAACAAGGACUGUAAAUCUACAAAUGACAAGAGUAGUCUUUUGAAUCUCCUUACUACUGGAGAAACAGGGUGGGAAAGCAGGGACCACAAGAGAGGAUCAGCACAAAGAUGCGCAUGGAGGACAGACAUCAUCAAUUCAUCCCACUUCUCAGGGGAAAACUUCAUCCUCAAGACAACCUGGUGUCAGGAGAGAGCUUGACAGGUCCCGGUAGACCAUCCUGAUGGCUGUGUGAGGGCUCCUCUGAGCCUGGCAAAGGGGAGAAGGUAGUACUAUCAACGUGAAAAUACUUAGGUAUCUUAAGGACUGUGGGUAAAAUUGUAACAUUUCCAGAAUAUCUCUCCUGGCUUUGGCGCAUUUGCACAUCCUCAGGGGUGGAGAGAAGUUCAUCUCCAUGUCAACAGGUAAUCGUGUCUGAACCUGAGAG